UACAGAGGGUGCAAGCGUUGUUCGGAAUUACUGGGCGUAAAGCGUGCGCAGGCGGUUUUGUAAGUCUAUCGUGAAAUCCCCGGGCUCAACCUGGGAAUUGCGAUGGAGACUGCAAGGCUAGAAUCUGGCAGAGGGGGGUAGAAUUCCACGUGUGAGCAGUGAAAUGCGUAGAGAUGUGGAGGAACACCGAUGGCGAAGGCAGCCCCCUGGGUCAAGAUUGACGCUCAUGCAC
rnacentral:rRNA from 1 species